CAGCCGCCGCGGGAACACGAAGGGUGCAAGCGUUAAUCGGAAUUACUGGGCGUAAAGCGUGCGUAGGCGGUUUGUUAAGUCUGCUGUGAAAUCCCCGGGCCCAACCUGGGAAUGGCAGUGGAUACUGGCAAGCUAGAGUGUGUCAGAGGAUGGUGGAAUUCCCGGUGUAGCGGUGAGAUGCGUAGAGAUCGGGAGGAACAUCAGUGGCGAAGGCGGCCAUCUGGGACAACACUGACGCUGAGGCACGAAAGCGUGGGGAGCAAACAGGAUUAGAUACCCGCGUAGUCCCUGUCUCUUAUAC
rnacentral:rRNA from 1 species